CCUUAGGCUCUGCCCCUCCCAAAACCUCACCUGAGUGGUCAAGCCUUAAACCUGGCCACCUGGUCUCCCUGCAGGCAGCAGCUGGGAUCUGAGUCUGUCCUGACACUGACAGGAAAUGGCCUUGAUCACGUAGAGAAAAAAGGUGAUCACGCUCAGGGCUUGCCAGGUGACUGUGCUCCUUUGAAAACAACUGACAAGUCAUCACAACUCUACGUCUGCUGAAGAAAGCAUGAAACCUCAGAAGUGCAAGUCUAGCCAGGAUGGGAGAUCUUUGUGGAUUUCUGGAGAGUGCCAGUGAGAGCAGCUUGUGAGCUUCUUCUACCCAGCCCAUCUGGUACAGAGCAUCAGCACAAAGGAUCCGUGAUGCUUCAUCAGAAGGAUCCAGUUCCAUCAAGAGAGAAGCCAGCUGGUAAACCCCAAGGGCAUCCCUGAAGAAAAAAGAAGAAAGAAAGAAAGGAAAAAGACAACUUUCAGGCUGAACUGCCUCCUGGGUACCUCUUCUUCUGGAGCAUCUUCUGUCCCUCUUCCUGGAGAACCUUUAGCAGCAGUCCUCUUUGGUUCCAUGGCACAUAGGCCUUGAUGGUGAAGAUGGUUUCUUCUAGCUUUA